rnacentral:rRNA from 1 species
CCUACAAGGCGACGAUCAGUAGCUGGUCUGAGAGGAUGAUCAGCCACACUGGGACUGAGACACGGCCCAGACUCCUACGGGAGGCAGCAGUGGGGAAUAUUGGACAAUGGGCGCAAGCCUGAUCCAGCCAUGCCGCGUGAGUGAUGAAGGCCCUAGGGUUGUAAAGCUCUUUCGGCGGGGACGAUAAUGACGGUACCCGCAGAAGAAGCCCCGGCUAACUUCGUGCCAGCAGCCGCGGUAAUACGAAGGGGGCUAGCGUUGUUCGGAAUCACUGGGCGUAAAGGGCGCGUAGGCGGCUAUUCAAGUCGGGGGUGAAAGCCUGUGGCUCAACCACAGAAUUGCCUUCGAUACUGUUUGGCUUGAGACCGGAAGAGGACAGCGGAACUGCGAGUGUAGAGGUGAAAUUCGUAGAUAUUCGCAAGAACACCAUUGGCGAAGGCGGCUGUCUGGUCCGGUUCUGACGCUGAGGCGCGAAAGCGUGGGCAGCAAACAGGAUUAGAUACCCUGGUAGUCCACGCCGUAAACGGUGGGCACUAGGUGUGGGGGCCAUUCCACGGUCUCUGUGCCGCAGCUAACGCAUUAAGUGCCCCGCCUGGGGAGUACGGCCGCAAGGCUAAA